ACCAAUAUGUCCCUUCCUCAAAAAUAGUUAACCAUUCAAAGCCUCAAACGGGCCUUAUCUUCUCCGCAAUCAUGGCUUCCCUAACCUCUACCGCUUUGUCCAAGAUCUCACCGUCUUCUCCAGAAAUUCUGCCCAAUACCCGUCGGUUUCCACAGCCCAUAACUCUACAACAAAUCAGACCAGUCUCUCGAAAAGUGGUCUUGUCUAAAACGGCUAUAAAAGCGACGAGUCCAAGUGCAGCCACUGGUUCCCAAUCUCCAGGACUUUACUCUGCGCAGAAAUUUGAGCUUACUGCUCAAAACGUGGACUUGGUUCUCGAGGAUGUUCGGCCUUACUUGAUUGCUGAUGGUGGAAACGUCGACGUUGUUUCCGUCGAAGACGGUAUUAUCUCUCUCAAACUCCAGGGUAAUUUGACUCUUUCCUUUCAUUUCUUCAUUUUUUAUGUUUAGACAAAGUUCUUGAAAUGAUCUGUUUGUUUUGAUUGGGUGAAAUUUUCUUAUCAAUUGCUUGAGAUAUGGUUCUAUGUUCGUUCACUUGCCAUUUUAGUAUAUCAUUCGCUGCAUAAUUAAUGAGGCGUAGAAAAUUAUCUAUUACUGAUUAAUCAAUUUGAAUCGGUUUCAUGGAGAAUUUGGGUCGAAGUGAAGAUGGGAGUUGCUGCAUUUACAUUAUUUUCAGAAAAAAAAGUAUCAAUCUUUUAGCUCCUCCAUUCGUCGAACUUCGUCAUCAAAUAACGUGUCCACAAGAUUGAACGUUUACUCUGGUUUGGCUGGAAAAAUUCUGAAUAUUUCAAUUCAUAAAUAUAAUUUUCAUACUUAGCAGUUGCCUGAAGAAAUCAACUUGCCAUCAAACAGUCCGUGGUGGCAAAUCUUAUGCUGUCCAUGUUUCUACUUCUAGCAUUUCAACAUAAAGUGUUCAUUUUGUUUCCCUUUUCUAAAUAGUCAUUUAAGAGGUGUUCUUUAUUGAUAUUCAUUUUAGAAAAGAGUUAAUUUUUGUGGCCAUAAGGAGUUUAUGGAUCGUUACCUCAAAAUCAUCCCAGCAAUUCUGGUAGUUUCCAAAGGUUUAUUCUGAUAAUGCCAUUUUUAAAUUGUUUUGUUGUUAUGUAUGUUUUGAUUACUGCCAAAUGGUUUGAAUUUAUGUUCUUAUAAAUUACAAAGGUCAUUGCUCACUCAGCAAUUGUGAUGUAAUAGUGUAUGCUAGAUAUAACCAAAGAGGUGGGGGCGCAGGAGUGGGUAUUUAACAACAUUUGAAUUAGGUUCUUUUUCUUUUUCCCCAAGGCCACCUCCAAUUGAUUCUUGAGCUCUUGAGUGAGCAGUGUCCUCUUUGAAUAUAAGCCUUCUCAAGAUGUAUUCGCUCCCCUUUGUAUUAUGAAUCUUGUGAUUGAUAAGGAACCAUCACCAUUUGCUCAGAGUCUGACCCUUGCCCUCUAUUCCAGUCUUAAGUGGAAAAUUAGUUACCGAUUGGUUUACUGUAUGGAAAUCCUUAGGGAUAUGUAAUAAUAUUACUCUUGUUAAAGCCUAUAUACUAUAUAAAUUAAAAGUGGAACUUCUACUGUAUGGGAAAUCCUUAGGGACAUGUAAUAAUAUUACUCUUGUUAAAGCCUAUAUACUAUAUAAAUUAAAAGUGGAACUUCUACUGUAUGGGAAAUCCUUAGGGACAUGUAAUAAUAUUACUCUUGUUAAAGCCUAUAUACUAUAUAAAUUAAAAGUGGAACUUUCAAGUAUAGAUGUGCUAAUCCAAUGUUAAAAGGUGCAGUUCAUAUAUGUCAUAAGUUGGUUAAAGAUAAAUAUUUGUGAUACCACUUAAAAGGUUCCAUUCUUAAGAUUUUGUUGGCAUAUUUAAUUGAUAAACA
rnacentral:misc_RNA from 1 species